rnacentral:rRNA from 1 species
CAAUAGCGUAUAUUAAUGUUGUUGCAGUUAAAAAGCUCGUAGUUGGAUUUCUGGUGGGAGCGGCCGGUCCGCCGUAAGGUGUGUACUUGGUUGUCUCCUGUCAUCCUUGUGGGAACUGCUCUGGCAUUAAGUUGUCGGGGUUAGGGAACACAUCGUUUACUGUGAAAAAAUUAGAGUGUUUAAAGCAGGCUUAUGCCGUUGAAUACAUUAGCAUGGAAUAAUAAGAUAGGACUUUGGCGUCUAUUUUGUUGGUUUGCACGCCAAGGUAAUGAUUAAUAGGGAUAGUUGGGGGUAUUCGUAUUUAAUUGUCAGAGGUGAAAUUCUUGGAUUUAUGAAAGACGAACUUCUGCGAAAGCAUUUACCAAAGAUGUUUUCAUUAA